rnacentral:lncRNA from 1 species
UCUGUAUGCGUGCAUGUCAUCGUGAGUGUUUGUCAUGCUGCGCUUUUUCUCUGCUGAUUAAUGCUUGAUUUGAGACGAGAAGGUCUGGAACCUUUUGACUGGACGAAGAACAGGAGGACUUUGAGGAACCAGAGCCAGGAGCCGAGAGACCAGUCCUUCCCCUUCAGGAGAGCCCAAGAGUGGGAUCUGGUAUGAGACAAAUCAGAAGAGAAGCUGAGUUGAUGUGUUGUGAGAGAACGCCCCCUUGUCUUGUGAGGGAAGAAUGCAUUGUUCACACAUUGGAGAGGGAAUUCAAGUUGGUUGUGGUUCAGCACACUCUGGCCAGCAGUUCAAGAGGUCUAUGGG